rnacentral:rRNA from 1 species
UAGCGGCGAGUGANGCGGCAAANGCUCAAAUUUGAAAUCUGGCACCUUCGGUGUCCGAGUUGUAAUUUGAAGAUUGUAACCUUGGGGUUGGCUCUUGUCUAUGUUUCUUGGAACAGGACGUCACAGAGGGUGAGAAUCCCGUGCGAUGAGAUGCCCAAUCCUAUGUAAGGUGCUUUCGAAGAGUCGAGUUGUUUGGGAAUGCAGCUCUAAGUGGGUGGUAAAUUCCAUCUAAAGCUAAAUAUUGGCGAGAGACCGAUAGCGAACAAGUACAGUGAUGGAAAGAUGAAAAGAACUUUGAAAAGAGAGUGAAAAAGUACGUGAAAUUGUUGAAAGGGAAGGGUUUGAGAUCAGACUCGAUAUUUUGUGAGCCUUGCCUUCGUGGCGGGGUGACCCGCAGCUUAUCGGGCCAGCAUCGGUUUGGGCGGUAGGAUAAUGGCGUAGGAAUGUGACUUUGCUUCGGUGAAGUGUUAUAGCCUGCGUUGAUGCUGCCUGCCUAGACCGAGGACUGCGAUUUUAUCAAGGAUGCUGGCAUAAUGAUCCCAAACCGCCCG